ensembl:lncRNA
CCCGGAUGCUCUCUAGGUACCCGGAUGUUCUCUAGGUACCCGGAUGCUCUCUAGGUACCCGGAUGUUCUCGAGGCCCUGGAUGGUCUCAGCGCCCAGCGGCAGGCGUGGACCUGGGCCCCCGUAACUCACGGGUGCGGCCGUGAGCAGAGGAGGAGCCCGGGACUCCUCCGCGUGGAGACUCGAGGCUGAGGGCGCCGGAAGCCCGCGCAUCGGGGACCAGGAGGCCCCGACUGUCUCCAUCCUCCGUGCUGGGAGCGGCAAGCGGCCUGCUGUGUGGGGAGCCUGCUUCUCAUGCCAUCCGCAUGGAUGGGGAGCCCACUCGGGGCGGUUCUGUCCGCCGAGCCUCUGGACGCUGGCCCCGGGAAGGUGUGACCUGCUAUGAAAACUUGAGACCACAGUAAAUACGCAUAUAGUGGCGUCCAGCUGCUCUUGGAGACAGAAAUGGCAACCCACCCCAGUAUUCCUGCCUGGAGCAUCCUGUGGACAGAGGGACCUGGCCGGCUGCAGCCCAUGGGGUCACAGAAGAGCCAGACACAACUGAGCAACCGAGCAAGAGCAAAGUGGCCCUGGCACUGUUUAUUGAGUGGACUGUCCUUCUUCCAUUGAAUUGCUUUUCUCCUGUUUUCUAAAAUUAGUUGAGUGUUUGUGUGAGUCUGUUUCUAGCUCUCUGUUUGAUUUCUCUGACCUAUGUGUCUAAUCCCUCUGGCAAAUCCACACAGUUCUGAUCACUGUAGCUAUAUAUGCAUGCCUGUGUGCUCAGUAAUGUCCCACUGUCUGCGACCACAUGGACGGUAGCCCACCAGGCCCCUCUGUCCAUGGAUUUCCCAGGCAAGAAUACUGCAGUGGGUUGCCAUUUCCUAUUCCAGGGGUAACUAUAUAGUAACCCUCAAUAUUAGAAAAAUUUCUCCCAGUUUAAUCUUUUUCAAGAACAUGUUUGCUGUUUGAAGUCCUGUGCUUUGCCCCAGAAACUUUAGAAUAAUCUUAUCUGUAAAAAAAUCUUGCUGGAAUUUUGAUGGUACUUGUGUUAAACCUAUAGAUCAAUUUGGGAAGAACUGACAUCUCCACUAUAUUGAAUCUUCCCACUAUGAAUGUGAUAGAUUUCUCGAUUUAUGUAGGUCUUUUGCUGCUUAUUUUGUGAGUAUUUUGUGACAUUCAAGAUACAGAUGCUGUGCGUGCUUUGUUAGAUUUAUACCCGAGUAUUUAUUUUCUUUGAAGCAACUGUCACUGUUUCCAGUUUCGCUCCUCACAGUUCAUUGCUAUUAUGUGGAAGUGUGGUCUAUUUUUGUAAGUUGAUCUUUCACCCUACAGCAUUGCUGAACUCGCUAUUAGUUCUGCAAGUUUUUUGGUAGACUCCUUAGAAUUUUCUGUAUAGGCAAUCAGGCCAUUUGUAAAUGGUGACAGUUUCAUUUCUUCUCAUCCAAGCUAUAUAACUUUUAUUUCCUUUUCUUGCCUUAUUGUACUGGCUAGAACUUCUAGUACUAUGUUGAAUAAGGUGGUGACAGAAGAUAUCCUUGUUUUGUUUCCAGUCUUAGGGGGAAAACAUUUAGUAUUUCACAAUUAAAUACAGUCUUGGCUGAAAGGUUUUUGUAUAUGCUUCCUCAAGUUCAGGAAGUUCCUCUAGUCCUAGUCUCCAGAGAGCUUUUGUGAUGAAUGCAUGUUGGAUUUUGCCAAAUGUAG